GACGAACGCUGGCGGCGUGCUUAACACAUGCAAGUCGAACGAAAAGACGGAAAGAGCUUGCUCUUUUCAGAAUUGAGUGGCAAACGGGUGAGUAACACGUAAACAACCUGCCUUCAGGAUGGGGACAACAGACGGAAACGACUGCUAAUACCGAAUAAGUUCCAAGGGUCGCAUGAUCCAUGGAAGAAAAGGUGGCCUCUACCUGUAAGCUAUCGCCUGAAGAGGGGUUUGCGUCUGAUUAGCUGGUUGGAGGGGUAACGGCCCACCAAGGCGACGAUCAGUAGCCGGUCUGAGAGGAUGAACGGCCACACUGGAACUGAGACACGGUCCAGACUCCUACGGGAGGCAGCAGUGGGGAAUCUUCCGCAAUGGGCGAAAGCCUGACGGAGCAACGCCGCGUGAGUGAUGACGGCCUUCGGGUUGUAAAACUCUGUGAUCCGGGACGAAAAGGCAGAGUGCGAAGAACAAACUGCAUUGACGGUACCGGAAAAGCAAGCCACGGCUACU
rnacentral:rRNA from 1 species